CGAAAUUCGACCGCGGGUCGUCUGCGCCAAUAAUGGCAUCCAUGUCAUCGUUCAGCUCGCUCGCUUCUGCUUGGUCUUUGUCAGAGUUGUUUUCCGAGUGCUCUGCACCGCUGUCGUCUUCGUCCGCUUGUUCACUCGGGUCCUCUUCCCCGAAAAGGUCGGCAAGCUUUUUUUUGGCAGAGACAAGAGCUUGUUCAAGCUCGUCUGAAUUCGCAGCCGGAUCCAGGGGGUGCGCCUCCACGUGCUUCUUCUUCAAGAGCGGGUUCUUCUCGUUGUCCGGCAGACUCAAAAAAUUGACGAGGUGGUGCUGGAGGUCGGCGUGUGCGGCGUCCAACGUCGAGAGCGGAACCAAGGUCUUGUCCGCGAAAAGGUAUCGGUCGAUGGUGUGCUGCGCGAGUUUGAGAGAGAGCAAAACAUCCGGAAAUGUUCGAAUGAAGUACCUGCCUUCGUAGAAAGAGAUGGGCCACGGACUGUCUAAAAAGUUGGGGUAGACGCCGUCACUGUCGUCUUCGUCGACGAACCCGAGGCAGCUGCUGGACCUUUUCAAUUGCAUGUUUUUCGGGGCAUCUUUGGACAUGAUGUUGCGCAGCAUGUUUUGCGCAUGAUGCGUGAAAAGUUUUCGUUUUUCCGUCCAUCGACUUUUCCGCCGCCCACUCCGAAGUUCAGUGGAUUCGGUGUUGUUGGUGAGUUGCGAAUCUUCCUCCGUAUCGUCAUCGGCGGGCACAAGAAGAGCGUUUGAGGAGCUAGGAAGGAGCGUCCGAAAAAUCCCGACGAAAAUUGUGAGAACCCAGACAAACAGUAGUAUGGAGUGCAGGAGCGGAAGAAUGACCCGCAUAUUAUCUGCGUGAAGGAGCACAGGCGUCUCUUCGGAGCAAGCAAGCGUGACGCUGAAGCCUGAAAGAAUUCCCAGUGUGGUCCACGUGAACGCAAAAAGAACAUUCGAGGAUCUCUGCCGAUAAGGCAUCCGCGUCAGACACAGAAGGACAAAGACGCAGAUUAUGACAAAAGCGAUGACACUCUGAGUCCGUGACCCAAACGGAUUAGUCGCCAUUUCUGCUAGGGGGUCUGCCCUCCAAGAUGGCGUGCCAGUCGUGAUGACAGCCGCAGAGGAAUCCACCUCACCCGAAGCGUCUGAAAACGUUGACGCAUUCGUGAGACUGGAGGGGAAGACCUGCUGAAAAAGCCAAGCAGCUCCCGCAGAAGGCUUAUACGUCUGGUUCCCAAAGAGGGCAACCAGAAGACAAAGCAAAAGUUUGACAAUCAUAAGUGCUUGACGGUGGUAAACUCGCCCCCAUUCGCGCCUAAAAGAUGUGAAUGUCCAUAGCAUCUGUACACGCCAGCUAUCGUUCAGAUUCAACAUGUAUUCCAAUUCUUUUUGUUGGACAUAGUCUUCGUGGUUUUCGUCUGUCUGCGCCACCAGAUGCGCAUUCACCUGACUGCCUACGUAGUAUACAGCCGUGGCAGCAAACAAAAAUGCGAACACGCCGAUCGCAAUACGCCCCAUGAAGAGUCCCUGGUCACCGCAUAUCUCUGCUUGGUCUUGGCAAAAAACGAUAGGGAGUACCGAGUUUAGGUACGGAGCAAAAAUCCACGUUACCAGGAUGAUCCGUCCCUGUACGAGCCAAAGGCACAGUUCGUGCCAGAGAUCAGCAAAGAAAACGCACAGCUUCAGCCAGUUGGAAUCCUGGUUUUUCGUCUGUUCAUCACUCUGCAAGGCAAACACAACACUGAGGGACAUGCGGCCUGAUGACUGACGUUGUUUUCGCUGAAGCUCUUCUGCGAGUUCUCGAGCUUCUUGCCUCUUUUCUUUAGGCGAUUUGGAAAACUUUAUCCAUCGAGACCCCCCCCAAAGCAGCGUCGCAACAGCCGCAACGACGAGCGUCAGGAUGCAAGCAAGAACUAGACGGGACGUUGCAGUGGAACCCGCAUCGCUGGAAACGAGAAUAUUUGAUGUGUCUAAGCGAUUUAAGAGCAAGUGGAAGAAGUCCAAGUUGAACGCUAGUAGUGGGAAGGUCUUUUGGUUCCAAGACGGCGGAAACUGGGGCAGAACAAUCAGCCAGAGCAAACACCAGACCUGGACUGCAUCUAAGGCCAGAAGCCAUUUUUCAACCCAGUAGAGAGAGACAGACCGUUGAGGAGGAAGGCUGUCCAGGCGAAUGUUAGUGGCCAUCGAGGCCGCUGAAAAAUCCCCUUCCAUGCCGGCGAAGCAGGUGUGCUGCACUUCUUCUCUUCAGCCCACGAUUCAGACUAGGGACUCCGCGAGAAUAGGACGAUCUGACGCAGUGCCUGCAUACUGCGUACGUGUACCACUGUGUACCACAGAGGCUGCAGAGCAUGGCCGGUAUAACCAAAAUCGACACAUUGGUGUCAAACUGAGAGACUAAACUUCAUUUGGAAAGUGUUUCGGCGAAGGAGCCAGCCGAAGGAGCAAGACCAAAGCACACUUAACGCGAUGGCCAUUUUUGGCGAAAACAGUUCACUUCACAUUCGAGAAACGCUCUCAGCAUUUUCACCUCCAACAUCCAUCAUGAUUUCACCGCAUAUUUCAUUCCGAUUCACCAGCUACGCAUGUGGAAAGCCCGGAAAGCGACUUUCUCCACGAGUCAAACGAGAGUUAAUACGUCGGUCGGCCAGGUGAUCGUAGCGGGCGGCAUGUGAGAUUAUCUGGUAUUGGCUGUGAUGCUGAUCUAAUGAGUUUUUUCGCUUCUUGUGACGGUGGUAGAAAGCUGGUCGAACGAUGCUAGCCUGAACUGCAUCAUUAAGGACAUGGACCGUAGCCGCUAUCUCCCCAGAAAAUGUUCGAAGACAAUGUUCGUCUUGAGCACGAAGAAUCACCCAAUUUUUCAACGGCAACGUCUGGAGCCAGUGACAUGACGGAAACUUCCCAUUGGGGGCUGUGUGGGGCCGUCGUCGUUCCACUGUUUCAAGUGCGUACACCUGAAGCUGUCCAAUGUUAACGUUGUUCACACAACUGCGAAUACAAAAUGUGUCCGUCCCAAUAAAGUAGCAAUGGCAGUGUCGUUAGGUGCGCAUUAGCCCAUGGCAGCCUUCUCCGUGUGCAACAGAGUCCCGGGGCAUGGUGGCGGCCAGGGGAUGUCAAAAAGCCACGUCUUUUAAUUACAUCGAAUAGGCGUUGCUCUGAGUUUGUCUGAGUUUGCCAGGAAAGUGAAUAUGAAACAGGAGGCUUCGCAACAGCACAUGACGUAGAAGUCUACGGUGAUCUUUUCCUUCAUCACCUCUGUCGAGACGGCAACGUGUGGACUCACCCAAAGGUCCAUGUUUUCAAGGCAGAUCGUGUAGUGCCAAAAGGCUCUAGAGAAACACAUUGAGGAUAAGAUGUGUGUUAAGUUUCUAAAUGGUACAGCUGGUUCCAAUUUCGUUUGCCCCAACAGCGCGUGCGUUUACUACUUCACCAAUUGCGUACUUGACUUCGUGUACUUUUUUUCCAGCCUUAUCAGUAGGUGACUUGAACCGAUUUGG
rnacentral:lncRNA from 1 species